CCGGCACUGUUACUUGGUUAGUGCUGGUUGGAACUUGAAAAAGAUUCUUGUUUGGUGUUUGCUCCCCUACAGAUUCGUACGCACUAGGAAAGAUUAUAGAAACGGUGAACCGCCUAUGCAAAAUUUCAUAACCACCUUCCUUACGGACACGGUGACAUGAUUGUACCUGAAAAUGCAUGGCGCCUGAGGCCAUAGUUGCCGGACAUUUCUUGGUGGGAGUUCAAUUUUUUUUUUUUGCCCUUUAAGAAGAGAGAAGGGCCCUCUGAAAGUUCUCAAAGCUCGAGGUGUUCUUUGCCGCUUCUCCAAACUUGGAGCCGAGCAAAAAGCUUCUGAUCUUGCAGCAAUUCUGGGGUCUCUGAUCAUCUAAAGGCAGAAAGUUCGUGAAGAAUUUUGACUGCUUAAAUCUCCAGGUCGAACUGUGAUACUCGCAAGACGCCAGGUUCCUUUCUACUGUAGACAUUUUUUCUGUGAUGUGACUGAACUAGUUGUUUGGAAGAUAACCUAUUUUAGGCGAAUGGAACAAACAUCCUUUAUCAAGGAAAAAAAAUGCUUAUCUUAUGGGAAAGUUGCAGUUGUGAGGACUUCUUUAUCGGAAUUUAUGCUGUUUGUGGUUGGUACCUGCACCAUACAACCUGUUUCGCACUGAAGGCGCCACUCCUGUUUCUGCGAAAGCAUUGUAAGCAGUACAUACAGACUUACAGACGUUCAGCUUGUGUUUUUUUUGUGCGAUUUUCAGCUCAUGCUAUUUAUUAUUAUAUGGUAUUUCCUUUGUCUCUAAAAGCACUAACACUGUUCCCAAGUGCUAAUAGCUGUCAAACUGGGUACAUGACAAUUAUACAUUGAACAUUGACAACUCAUGCAAAUCCAAGAGGAAAGAUGGUGUGGCACCAGAAGGCUGAAAAUGGGCUUGUAAGAUCAUUCAUAGUGCUUUCUAUGUGACCAGUGAUUUUAACUCGUAAUGUAGGAGGCAUGCUAUGGUGGAGAGAGGGUUGAGACUGGGUGGCUUUAGAUGAAUCCCCAUGCCCUCUACCGAAUGUGAUAUCUAUGCCAAACGUUAUAGAGACAAGUCUCGAGAUACACAGUGGAGGGAGGCGUGACUGUCCAAGGGGCUCGAGUGGGGAGAGGAGAUAAGCGUCGAUGACGUCUAGAGAAUAGGGUGGGGGCGACAGUGGCGGAUCCAGAAAAAAAUAUUAGGGGGGCUGGACAAAAGAGAAUUGUUUUUAGCUCUCUCUUCUCUUCAAUAAUACCAGAAAUUUUGUACACGGCUAAGGGGGACUUCAGUGACGCAGAUCGGGUAGGGGGGCUGAAGCCUCCUAGCCUCGGUGGUAGAUCUGCCCCUGGGGGCGAGUGAGAUACGCCAAUAUGGAGAUGAGAUGAGAUCCGGAGCUUACCCAUGGUCAUUGCCAUUGAGCUGGGAAGGGGCAGCAAGCUCUCGCCCAAAUCCACAUAAGAAGAAGGGUUGGUGAGCUUGUAGCUAGAUCCAGAGCCCUUCAUCACUGUCAGGAUGAGUUGAGCAGGAGGCAAUGCCUCAAUCUGUGCAGAUCUAACACCUCGAUCUGUGUCUGUCCACACUACCUUGGCCCAUCGACAAAGGAGUAGGAAUCGGUGACAGAUUUGAGACGACGACGCCAAAGAGGGAGAGGGGGCGUCACCAGCCGAGAAAGGGAGAUGGGAGGGGAAAGUUAAGGAGAGAGGAGAUUGUAGGAUAAAUUUUGUAUUAAUUUAUGUAUUUUAGAGUCU